rnacentral:rRNA from 1 species
GACGAACGCUGGCGGCGUGCUUAACACAUGCAAGUCGAGCGGUAAGGCCCUUUCGGGGGUACACGAGCGGCGAACGGGUGAGUAACACGUGGGUGACCUGCCCUUAGCUCUGGGAUAAGCCUGGGAAACUGGGUCUAAUACCGGAUAUGACUCCAUGACGCAUGUUGUGGGGUGGAAAGCCUUGUGCGGCUGGAGAUGGGCCCGCGGCCUAUCAGCUUGUUGGUGGGGUGAUGGCCACCAAGGCGACGACGGUAGCCGGCCUGAGAGGGCGACCGGCCACACUGGGACUGAGACACGGCCCAGACUCCUACGGGAGGCAGCAGUGGGGAAUCUUGCGCAAUGGGCGAAAGCCUGACGCAGCGACGCCGCGUGAGGGAUGACGGCCU